rnacentral:rRNA from 1 species
CAGUCGUGGGGCAGCAGGUCUGUAGCAAUACAGAUGCUGGCGACCGGCAAACGGGUGCGGAACACGUACACAACCUUCCUUUAAGUGGGGAAUAGCCCAGGGAAACUUGGAUUAAUACCCCGUAACAUAUAGAAGUGGCAUCGCUUUUAUAUUAUAGCAGCAAUGCGCUUGAAGAUGGGUGUGCGGCUGAUUAGAUAGUUGGCGGGGUAACGGCCCACCAAGUCGACGAUCAGUAACUGGUGUGAGAGCACGACCAGUCACACGGGCACUGAGACACGGGCCCGACUCCUACGGGAGGCAGCAGUAAGGAAUAUUGGUCAAUGGACGCAAGUCUGAACCAGCCAUGCCGCGUGGAGGAUGAAGGUCCUCUGGAUUGUAAACUUCUUUUAUUUGGGAAGAAACCCAUCUUUUCUUGGAUGGCUGACGGUACCAGAUGAAUAAGCACCGGCUAACUCCGUGCCAGCAGCCGCGGUAAUACGGAGGGUGCAAGCGUUAUCCGGAUUCACUGGGUUUAAAGGGUGCGUAGGUGGGCAAGUAAGUCAGUGGUGAAAUCUCCGGGCUUAACCCGGAAACUGCCAUUGAUACUAUUUGUCUUGAAUACGGUGGAGGUCAGCGGAAUAUGUCAUGUAGCGGUGAAAUGCUUAGAUAUGACAUAGAACACCAAUUGCGAAGGCAGCUGGCUACACAAAUAUUGACACUGAGGCACGAAAGCGUGGGGAUCAAACAGGAUUAGAUACCCUGGUAGUCCACGCCCUAAACUAUGGAUACUCGACAUACGCGAUAAACUGUGUGUGUCUGAGCGAAAGCAUUAAGUAUC